UCUUCCCUCUUUCUUCGUGCCUAAUACAUGCAAGUCGAGCGAACAGGCGAGGAGCUUGCUCCUCUGACGUUAGCGGCGGACGGGUGAGUAACACGUGGAUAACCUACCUAUAAGACUGGGAUAACUUCGGGAAACCGGAGCUAAUACCGGAUAAUAUAUUGAACCGCAUGGUUCAAUAGUGAAAGACGGUUUUGCUGUCACUUAUAGAUGGAUCCGCGCCGCAUUAGCUAGUUGGUAAGGUAACGGCUUACCAAGGCAACGAUGCGUAGCCGACCUGAGAGGGUGAUCGGCCACACUGGAACUGGGACACGGUCCAGACUCCUACGGGAGGCAGCAGUAGGGAAUCUUCCGCAAUGGGCGAAAGCCUGACGGAGCAACGCCGCGUGAGUGAUGAAGGUCUUCGGAUCGUAAAACUCUGUUAUUAGGGAAGAACAAAUGUGUAAGUAACUAUGCACGUCUUGACGGUACCUAAUCAGAAAGCCACGGCUAACUACGUG
rnacentral:rRNA from 1 species